rnacentral:rRNA from 1 species
UGAGGAAUAUUGGACAAUGGGCGCAAGCCUGAUCCAGCCAUGCCGCGUGCAGGAUGACGGUCCUAUGGAUUGUAAACUGCUUUUUGUACAGGAAGAAACAGUUCUACGUGUAGAACCUUGACGGUACUGUAAGAAUAAGGAUCGGCUAACUCCGUGCCAGCAGCCGCGGUAAUACGGAGGAUCCAAGCGUUAUCCGGAAUCAUUGGGUUUAAAGGGUCCGUAGGCGGUUAGAUAAGUCAGUGGUGAAAGCCCAUCGCUCAACGGUGGAACGGCCAUUGAUACUGUCUGACUUGAAUUAUUAGGAAGUAACUAGAAUAUGUAGUGUAGCGGUGAAAUGCUUAGAGAUUACAUGGAAUACCAAUUGCGAAGGCAGGUUACUACUAAUGGAUUGACGCUGAUGGACGAAAGCGUGGGUAGCGAACAGGAUUAGAUACCCUCGUAGUCCCUGAGCGGGCUGGCAAGGCGCAU